AUGCACGUAGCUCAGUUGGCAGAGCAUUGUAAUAGUAUCCCAAAGGUCGCGGGUUUGACUCCCGCUGUGGAUG